rnacentral:rRNA from 1 species
GUCCACGCCCUAAACGAUGUCAACUAGCUGUUGGGGCCUUCGGGCCUUGGUAGCGCAGCUAACGCGUGAAGUUGACCGCCUGGGGAGUACGGUCGCAAGAUUAAAACUCAAAGGAAUUGACGGGGACCCGCACAAGCGGUGGAUGAUGUGGAUUAAUUCGAUGCAACGCGAAAAACCUUACCUACCCUUGACAUGUCUGGAAUCCCGAAGAGAUUUGGGAGUGCUCGCAAGAGAACCGGAACACAGGUGCUGCAUGGCU